CCCGGCGAUUGGGCGCCAGGGGCGUCUGGGUCUCGCGCGGGCGUGGGAGCCGAGGGCCCGGCCGCGGCGCCCGAGAGGCGGAGAUGGGCCAGUGACCCUCGACCCGUCCGUCCGUCGGGCUAGCGAGACCAGCCCGCCGCGGAGGAGACAGAGCAGGGAGCUACAGGAGGCCGUUCCGGAAAACGCCACGGGCAAGCAGGAGUUGAUCAUCAGAUCUUGUAAGAAAAUUAACGGAAAAAAGAUGCCUCUCGGCUCUGUGGAGUCAGACUUUCUGCGGUGGCUCCUGGACCUUUAGCAAACCUCGACUAUGGAACAGUACUUGGACUGGAGCACCAGCUCUUCCUGGGUCUUGAGUCUGCCGGCCUUGGCCUUCGCCCUUGAACUACACUAGCAGCUCUCCUGGUUCUCAGGUCUUCAGACUCCAAUGGAACUAAAUCAUCAGCCCUCCUGGG
rnacentral:lncRNA from 1 species